rnacentral:rRNA from 1 species
GGUUUUUAAAUUGCUGUGGUAUUUUGACUAUACAAAGGUAUUGAAAUAAGAUUUUAAUUGAAUGCUAAGAGAAUGGAAUUACAGAAAAUAGCUUUUUUUAGAUUAAAAAUUGAAAUUUUUUUAAUUUGUGCAGAAACAAUUAUUAAUAUUAAGGACAAGAAGACCCUAUGAAUUUAUAAAUUUAUGUUAUAGUAAUUAAUAUAAAAUAAAUUUUGGUUGGGGCGACAAAAAAAAAUAAAAAACUUUUUUUUUAUAAAAUGAUCCAUUAUUAAUGAUUAUAUGAAAAAUACUCUAGGGAUAACAGCGUUAUAUUUUUUGAUAGCUCAUAUUGACAAAAAAGUUUGCGACCUCGAUGUUGGAUUAGGAUACUUUUUUAAUGAAGAUAUAAAAAAAGAAGUUGUGGAGCGGAAGCCC